rnacentral:rRNA from 1 species
CUCCAGACUCCUACGGGAGGCAGCAGUGAGGAAUAUUGGUCAAUGGGCGCGAGCCUGAACCAGCCAAGUCGCGUGAGGGAAGACGGCCCUACGGGUUGUAAACCUCUUUUGCCGGGGAGCAACGGGCGCCACGUGUGGCGCCACUGAGAGUACCCGGAGAAAAAGCAUCGGCUAACUCCGUGCCAGCAGCCGCGGUAAUACGGAGGAUGCGAGCGUUAUCCGGAUUUAUUGGGUUUAAAGGGUGCGUAGGCGGAGCUUUAAGUCGGGGUAAAAAUGGGGGGCCACACCCCCUCCCCGCCAUUGAAACUGGCGCUCUUGAGUGGAAGAGAAGUAUGCGGAAUGCGUGGUGUAGCGGUGAAAUGCAUAGAUAUCACGCAGAACCCCGAUUGCGAAGGCAGCAUGCCGGCUUCCGACUGACGCUGAAGCACGAAAGCGUGGGGAUCGAACAGGAUUAGAUACCCGAGUA